GGUUCGAUGGCGUAGUUGGUUAUCGCAUCUGUCUAACAUGAAAUGUUAGGUAUAUUCUUACACAGAAGGUCCCCAGUUCGAGCCUGGGUCGAAUCA